UAGGGAAUCUUCGGCAAUGGGGCAACCCUGACCGAGCAACGCCGCGUGAGUGAAGAAGGUUUUCGGAUCGUAAAGCUCUGUUGUAAGAGAAGAACGUGUGUGAGAGUGGAAAGUUCACACAGUGACGGUAACUUACCAGAAAGGGACGGCUAACUACGUGCCAG
rnacentral:rRNA from 1 species